rnacentral:rRNA from 1 species
AUAUCAAUAAGCGGAGGAAAAGAAACCAACAGGGAUUGCCUUAGUAGCGGCGAGUGAAGCGGCAAAAGCUCAAAUUUGAAAUCUGGCACUUUCAGUGUCCGAGUUGUAAUUUGAAGAAGGUAUCUUUGGAUCUGGCUCUUGUCUAUGUUCCUUGGAACAGGACGUCACAGAGGGUGAGAAUCCCGUGCGAUGAGAUGUUCCAGAUCUAUGUAAAGUUCCUUCGAAGAGUCGAGUUGUUUGGGAAUGCAGCUCUAAGUGGGUGGUAAAUUCCAUCUAAAGCUAAAUAUUGGCGAGAGACCGAUAGCGAACAAGUACAGUGAUGGAAAGAUGAAAAGAACUUUGAAAAGAGAGUGAAAAAGUACGUGAAAUUGUUGAAAGGGAAGGGCUUGAGAUCAGACUUGGUAUUUUGUAUGUUGUUCUUUCGGGGGCAGCCUCUACAGUUUAUCGGGCCAGCAUCGGUUUGGACGGUAGGAUAAUGGCAAAGAAAUGUGGCAAGCUUCGGUUUGUGUUAUAGUCUUUGUUGAUACUGCCAGUCUAGACCGAGGACUGCGGCUUCUGCCUAGGAUGCUGGCAUAAU